GUCGUACGUGGGUGAACCACACGUGCGCGUAUGGGGCCAAGAGCGACCCCCCGCCACCGCCCGCUCCGGUGCUGGUUCGUUCUCGAAACCCUCGGUCCCCUUUCUCUUCACCGAGGAACAUCAUUUCCACCAUUGCGUCUAGAACAGAGCAGGUCGUGGCGGCGGCGCUUUCCGUGCUUUGGCAGCCGUAGAAAAAUGAAGGAUGCUGGCCUGGAGUUCCUCCUCGAUGCAGACAUGCAGUAGACAGGUUCCCCCAGCGGGAGGAGUUCGCCAAGAUCCUUGAGAACCCAGAUCCUUGAGAUUCCCUCAUCUGGUGUUGUUGCCGACGAGCGAGGCCAACCGUGCCGAACCUGCAGACUCAAAUGCUGGGUCUGGUUGCAGCCAACGGGUCGGCGGUGAUGACCUCGACAAAAGACAAGGUGCAGUUCGCCGGAAAGAUUACGGCCAGGGAGUGCACCUCCAGACCGGACACCAUGUCCGUCAAGGAUGAGUGCUCUGGAGCAGUCGAUUUGCAAGUAUGCAGAGGAACCUACGAAGAGUGUUGUACGCCCAGCACUUGGUUUGACUUUUGAUUCACUUGGUGAGGCAUAUGACUACUACAGUUUGCACAUCUGGGAGAUCGGUUUCGGAGUUAGAUAUGGUAAGAGUAGACUCAACGCCGAGAGGACAAUGUGCAUGCACGAAAUAGUCUGCGGUUGCUCGGUGAGUACUGAAUUUUGAUUACCUACGUAUGAAGCUAAAAUGAUAGGCAUGCCUUUGGUGCGCAAUCCUUGUAAAACUGUACCGACUUUCUGUUUGUGGAAAUGUAUGUUGGGGAAACCAGAGGCAGAAAAUAGUAGAUCAUGCAGGUGCGAGUGUCCGUUGUUGAUUAGAUUGUUGCGAGCGUCGGACAACAGCUGGUAAGGGCAGUAGUCCAGGUCGUAUGGGCAAACCUGAGCCGUCUCUAGCUGUGGCUGUACUUCACGUCUGCAUGUGGGUCCGCUGUGCGGAACUUGUCGAGGGUUUGGAAGGGGGAUUUGACGAGCAGUGAGGCCGAGAAUUAGUGUAAAGGGACCUCGUGGCAAUGGCGUGUGCGGCGGCUGCGACUUCUUGCGGCGGAGCAGCGAUGGAAGCCUGCGGGAUCGAGUUCCCGCUGGAUCUAGUUGACUGGUGAGUUUCUGUACCCUGGUGCCCGUCUAUGGAUCUGUGUGCUUCCAUGUGUUUCCCAACUUCCCACCGCAGCUUUUGACUCUAGCUGUGGCGCAGGCGAAGAUUUAUUUGGAAUGUGAGUGAGACAUUUUUAAAAAUUCAAAAAUGAGUGCUGAUUUUGAUGAAUUAUGAUUGAAGCUGAUUUGUAUGUUGUCAUAAGUCUGUAUGUGACGCAGACUUACAAAAGACUGGGCUUCUGCCAUUGAGAAGGAAUGCAGCCAAUGAGAGAGCAUUGGAAGACGAUGAUCAAUGUCGGCGUAUUUGUGACCUAGCUAGGGCGGCACUGGAGUGGGUUGAUCAAGCCAACAGUUAUCCCCAUCGAACUGAAGUUGCUGGUGUGCAAGCAAGGAAUAUGCAGACCAUGGUUGGCGAUGUGGAAAACAUUGGAGGAGCAGCUCUGAUGAACAGGGUACAGUGCGAUGACAACAAUGCUGCUAUGGGUGAAGAUGGUGUGAGCAGGGAGAACUCAAGCUGAGCAUAUCCAGUGAUGCAUAAAUGUUAUGGAAGGGCACUUCUGGAACACGUGCACUCGGCGUUUGGUUUUGAUCAGAAUAAAAUGUGAUAACUAGUUUUGUUAAUCUGUGUGUUGUAGUAUGAGUAUUUUUCUGGUGUGUUUCAAUGAGCAUUUGCUCCACCCUUGUUCCUCCAGUUCGGUAUGUGAGGCCAAACUGUGGUAGUGAGUAAACUUUGUUCAGUAUGAUCCUGCUUGUGCUUCGGUUGA